UUGCUACAAACACAGACCAGAGGACCUGAGUGUACUGGACAUCAAAUGAACAUCUGAUUAGCAUAAAGAUGUGCUUUUUUUCUGGGUCUUGCAUCACAUUUCUCAGUGUGUGUUGAACAGACUGUCAUGUUUUUGCUUGGCACUCUUUCAUCUUUCUUUCCCACAAAGACAGCUGGUAGUGUAGUGGUUAGAGUUACUUCAGUUUGGACACCGAGGUCACUGGUUUGAGUCUCACCUCCAGCUGUAGUACCCUUGAGCAAGAUAUUUACCCUAAAAAAUAGUGGGUGGCACAGUGAGUAGCACUGCUGUCUCACAGCACCUGGGUGGUGCAAGAGGACAGGGGUUCAAUCCCUGCUCAGUGUGUGUGGAGUUUGCAUGUUUUCUCUGUGUCUGCCUGAUUUCCUCCCCUAGUCCAAAGACAUGCUGUUCAGGUUCACCCAGUGUUCCACUGAUGUAUGGAUGAGUGACCCAAUGUAAGCAGUGUAAGUCACUGCGGUGAAUAAGAUGUGUGGGCUGAUAACACUACAUAGAGUUCAUUGGAAGUUGCUUUGGAGAAAAAUGGCUGCUAAAUAAAUGAAUGUAAUGCUCCACUAAAAUUGCCCAGAUGGAUAAAUACCUUAACAUUUUAAGUACCUUGGAGGAAAAGUAUCAGCUAAAUGAGUAAAUGUAACUUUAUACUGCCAUAUACUUACAUUUUUUCACCCACUUAUACAACUGGGCAAUUUCAGGUAGGUACCUUGCUUAAGGGUACUACAGCCUGAGAUGAGAUUCAAACCCAUGACCUUUUGGGUUCAAAAGCAGCACCUCUAACCACUACACUACCAGCUACCUGCAUUUCAUUCUUCUCCAGUGACUGAAUACAUCCCAAGCCUCCUGGCAGCCUCAGAUUUCUUCUGCCAUUUGCGCUGAGGGAAGGGGUAGUGCUGCGAGCUGGACGACAUCCCUUGUGACUGGUUCCCUGAUAAACUCAACUGUCUCAGCCGUCUGGACAAGGGGGUUGGACCGAUCAGCUUCCAGCAGUCUGCGUCGGCACUUCUUCGUUCACUCAGCGUUUCACCGGACUUCUCCGCACGAGUGGCUUCUUCGUAGGCCUUGUUGCGCUCCACGCAUAUGAGCGUCUGUGCGGAUUCCUGGCCGCCCACUCUUCCUGCAGGAGCUUUUUCGCCUCCCCUUUGCACGCUGGAGCUCAUCCGAUGCAUCCCCAGCCCACGGUGACCGCAGAUCAACUGACCGGCGAGAC
rnacentral:lncRNA from 1 species